UGCGUAGGUGGCGCCGUAAGUCAGGUGUGAAAUUUCGGAGCUCAACUCCGAAACUGCAUUUGAUACUGCGGUGCUUGAGGACUGGAGAGGAGACUGGAAUUCACGGUGUAGCAGUGAAAUGCGUAGAUAUCGUGAGGAAGACCAGUGGCGAAGGCGGGUCUCUGGACAGUUCCUGACACUGAGGCACGAAGGCCCAGGGGAGCAAACG
rnacentral:rRNA from 1 species